CCUACGGGUGGCAGCAGUGAGGAAUAUUGGUCAAUGGGCGCGAGCCUGAACCAGCCACGUAGCGUGAAGGAUGAAUGCCCUACGGGUUGUAAACUUCUUUUAUAAAGGAAUAAAGUGAGGCACGUGAGCCUGUUUGUAUGUACUUUAUGAAUAAAGAACGGCUAACUCCGUGCCAGCAGCCGCGGUAAUACGGAGGAUCCGAGCGUUAUGCGGAUUUAUUGGGUUUAAAGGGAGCGUAGAUGGGUUGUUAAGUCAGUUGUGAAAGCUUGCGGCUCAACCGUAAAAUUGCAAUUGAUACUGGCAGUCUGGAGUACAGUUGAGGUAGGCGGAAUUCGUGGUGUAGCGGUGAAAUGCUUAGAUAUCACGAAGAACUCCGAUUGCGAAGGCAGCUUACUAAACUGCCACUGACAUUGAUGCUCGAAAGUGUGGGGAUCAAACAGGAUUAGAUACCCGGGUAGUC
rnacentral:rRNA from 1 species